rnacentral:rRNA from 1 species
UACGUAGGGUGCAAGCGUUAAUCGGAAUUACUGGGCGUAAAGCGUGCGCAGGCGGUUUUGUAAGACAGGUGUGAAAUCCCCGGGCUUAACCUGGGAACUGCAUUUGUGACUGCAAGGCUGGAGUGCGGCAGAGGGGGAUGGAAUUCCCGGUGUAGCGGUGAAAUGCGUAGAUAUCAGGAGGAACACCGGUGGCGAAGGCGGCUCUCUGGGUCUGUCCUGACGCUCAGGCGCGAAAGCUAGGGGAGCAAACAGG